rnacentral:rRNA from 1 species
UACAGAGGUCUCAAGCGUUGUUCGGAUUCAUUGGGCGUAAAGGGCGCGUAGGCGGUUUCGUAAGUCCUGUGUGAAAUCCCCCGGCUCAACUGGGGAACUGCACAGGAAACUGCGAGGCUUGAGUUCGGGAGAGGGAAGCGGAAUUCCGGGUGUAGCGGUGAAAUGCGUAGAUAUCCGGAGGAACACCGGUGGCGAAGGCGGCUUCCUGGACCGACACUGACGCUGAGGCGCGAAAGCCAGGGGAGCAAACGGGG